rnacentral:rRNA from 1 species
UACGUAGGGGGCAAGCGUUGUCCGGAAUUAUUGGGCGUAAAGAGCGUGUAGGCGGCUCGGUAAGUCCGCUCUGAAAGUCCAGGGCUCAACCCUGGGAUGCGGGUGGAUACUGCCGGGCUCGAGUCCGGAAGAGGCGAGUGGAAUUCCCGGUGUAGCGGUGAAAUGCGCAGAUAUCAGGAAGAACACCAACGGCGAAGGCAGCUCGCUAGGACGGUACUGACGCUGAGACGCGAAAGCGUGGGGAGCGAACAGG